rnacentral:SRP_RNA from 1 species
GCUGGGUGCGGUGGCUCACACCUGUAAUCCCAGCACUUUGGGAGGCUGAGGCGGGUGGAUCACCUGAGGUCAGGAGUUCGAGACCAGCCUGGCCAACAUGGUGAAACCCCGUCUCUA